GACGAACGCUGGCGGCGUGCCUAAUACAUGCAAGUAGAACGCUGAAGAGAGGAGCUUGCUCUUCUUGGAUGAGUUGCGAACGGGUGAGUAACGCGUAGGUAACCUGCCUGGUAGCGGGGGAUAACUAUUGGAAACGAUAGCUAAUACCGCAUAAAAUGGAUUAUCGCAUGAUAAUCCAUUGAAAGGUGCAAAUGCAUCACUACCAGAUGGACCUGCGUUGUAUUAGCUAGUUGGUGGGGUAACGGCUCACCAAGGCGACGAUACAUAGCCGACCUGAGAGGGGGAUCGGCCACACUGGGACUGAGACACGGCCCAGACUCCUACGGGAGGCAGCAGUAGGGAAUCUUCGGCAAUGGACGGAAGUCUGACCGAGCAACGCCGCGUGAGUGAAGAAGGUUUUCGGAUCGUAAAGCUCGGUUGUAAGAGAAGAACGAGUGUGAGAGUGGAAAGUUCACACUGUGACGGUAUCUUACCAGAAAGGGACGGCUAACUACGUG
rnacentral:rRNA from 1 species